CACAGACCAAGUCGAGUCGUCUCUAGCAGCGGUACAGCUCAAUCUUCAAAGCUCGACUCAAUUCUUUCUAAAACUUAUACUGAAAAUGACUUGUAAAAUUGCCAUUUAUUGUCUUCUUCUUGUCGCCUUGAUUGGCUUGGUAUCGGCAGCUCCACAAUCUGGAAGAUCGGAGUACGGUUAUAGACAUUAUUGUGAAAAGAAAACAUUCCCUGGUGGAUCAACGAAGUCAAGAUGGUGGACUGAUGGAGAAUUAAUUCGACUCCCGUCCAGGUGGAGAGAAUCGACUACAGCUGCAAGCUCGAUCGAUGAUAGCGGAAUAACUACGUAUACUCAAAAUUGGUAUCAAC